UACGGAGGGGGCUAGGGUUGUUCGGAAUUACUGGGCGUAAAGUGCACGUAGGCGGACUGGAAAGUCAGGGGUGAAAUCCCGGGGCUCAACCCCGGAACUGCCUUUGAAACUCCCGGUCUUGAGGUCGAGAGAGGUGAGUGGAAUUCCGAGUGUAGAGGUGAAAUUCGUAGAUAUUCGGAGGAACACCAGUGGCGAAGGCGGCUCACUGGCUCGAUACUGACGCUGAGGUGCGAAAGCGUGGGGGGCAAACAGG
rnacentral:rRNA from 1 species